rnacentral:tRNA from 1 species
GGAGUAAUAGCUCAGUGGUAGAGUGCAUGCCUUACGUGCAUGAGGUUCUGGGUUGAAUCCCCAGUACCUCCA